CGCUAUCACUCCGUACGGGAGGCAGCAGUAGGGAAUAUUGGUCAAUGGGCGAAAGCCUGAACCAGCCAUGCCGCGUGUCAGAUGAAGGUCCUCUGGAUUGUAAAUGACUUUUCUACGGGAAGAAUGAGCCGUCUGCGGACGGAAGUUGACGGUACCGUAGGAAUAAGCACCGGCUAACUACGUGCCAGCAGCCGCGGUAAUACGUAGGGUGCAAGCGUUGUCCGGAUUUACUGGGUUUAAAGGGUACGUAGGCGGUUGUGCCAAGUCUGGGGUGAAAGUUUGCAGCUCAACUGUAAAAUUGCCUUGGAUACUGGUCGGCUAGAGUAGUGGAGCGGUGGCUGGAAUUUAUAGUGUAGCGGUGAAAUGCUUAGAUACUAUGAGGAACACCAAUUGCGAAGGCAGGUCACUGGUCACUAACUGACGCUGAGGUACGAAAGUGUGGGGAUCAAACAGGAUUAGAUACCCUGGUAG
rnacentral:rRNA from 1 species